UGGGGAAUUUUGGACAAUGGCGCAAGCCUGAUCCAGCCAUGCCGCGUGCGGGAAGAAGGCCUUCGGGUUGUAAACCGCUUUUGUCAGGGAAGAAAUCUUCUGAGUUAAUACCUCGGGAGGAUGACGGUACCUGAAGAAUAAGCACCGGCUAACUACGUGCCGGCAGCCGCGGUAAUACGUAGGGUGCAAGCGUUAAUCGGAAUUACUGGGCGUAAAGCGUGCGCAGGCGGUUUUGUAAGACAGAGGUGAAAUCCCCGGGCUCAACCUGGGAACUGCCUUUGUGACUGCAAGGCUCGAGUGCGGCAGAGGGGGGAUGGAAUUCCGCGUGUAGCAGUGAAAUGCGUAGAUAUGCGGAGGAACACC
rnacentral:rRNA from 1 species